AACUUUUGACAAUGGAUCACUUGGCUCUCGCAUCGAUGAAGAACGCAGCGAAAUGCGAUAAGUAAUGUGAAUUGCAGAUUUUCAGUGAAUCAUCGAAACUUUGAACGCACCUUGCGCUCUCUGGUAUUCCAGAGAGCAUGCCUUUUUGAGUGGCUUUGAAUCAUCAACUCGACCGGCUUUGCCCGUUAGCGUUUAGAACAGGAGCGUGCCGGCCCCUUGAAGGUGUCGGCUCCUCUCGAAACGAUUAGCGAACCCUGCGAGGCGAAGAAUCUUUUUAGUAUGAUAGAUGUAUAGGCCGCAGCCGUCAAGCCCCGCGGGCGCUUACAAUGGUCCCUAGGGACGACUUGGCCUUGCUGGCCUCAUUAUGUCUCGACCUCAAAACAGGCAGGACUACCCCCUGAAUUUAAGCAUAGCUAAACGGGGAGACU
rnacentral:misc_RNA from 1 species